rnacentral:rRNA from 1 species
GAUGAACGCUGGCGGCGUGCCUAAUACAUGCAAGUCGAGCGAACGGACGAGAAGCUUGCUUCUCUGAUGUUAGCGGCGGACGGGUGAGUAACACGUGGAUAACCUACCUAUAAGACUGGGAUAACUUCGGGAAACCGUAGCUAAUACCGGAUAAUAUUUUGAACCGCAUGGUUCAAAAGUGAAAGACGGUCUUGCUGUCACUUAUAGAUGGAUCCGCGCUGCAUUAGCUAGUUGGUAAGGUAACGGCUUACCAAGGCAACGAUGCAUAGCCGACCUGAGAGGGUGAUCGGCCACACGGGAACGGAGACACGGUCCAGACUCCUACGGGAGGCAGCAGUAGGGAAUCUUCCGCAAUGGGCGAAAGCCUGACGGAGCAACGCCGCGUGAGUGAUGAAGGUCUUCGGAUCGUAAAACUCUGUUAUUAGGGAAGAACAUAUGUGUAAGUAACUGUGCACAUCUUGACGGUACCUAAUCAGAAAGCCACGGCUAACUACGUG